rnacentral:rRNA from 1 species
GACGUAGGAGGCGAGCGUUGUCCGGAUUCAUUGGGCGUAAAGAGCGCGCAGGCGGCUUGGUAAGUCGGAUGUGAAAUCCCGAGGCUCAACCUCGGGUCUGCAUCCGAUACUGCCCGGCUAGAGGUAGGUAGGGGAGAUCGGAAUUCCUGGUGUAGCGGUGAAAUGCGCAGAUAUCAGGAGGAACACCGGUGGCGAAGGCGGAUCUCUGGGCCUUACCUGACGCUCAGGCACGAAAGCUAGGGGAGCGAACUGG